CCACUUUUAACCUUCACUCCCGCCGCCGAAUUUUUCCUCAGUCAUAGAUGGGCGGUUCCAUAAGCGACGACAUCAGCGGCGCCACCUACUCUCCCCGGAGUUCCGGCCGUCCGAUUCCCAAGAGGGGACAGGUCAAAUUGGGGAUUAUGGUGGGUCUCGCUCAUUCCGUUGUUUCAAUUUUCUCGCCAACCACUCGCCGGAGUUAGAUUCCACGGCGGCAAGCGAUGGGUGUCGGAGAGAGAGAUGGCCGGUACCAGGACCAACACGAUCAACGGUGGAAACUUGUCGAGUAAAUAUUCUGACCGUUUGAUUCCGAAACGAGGUCAGGUCAAAAUGGCUAUCUUAGCGGGUAUUGCUCACUCCGUCUCUUCGAUCUUCUUUCACGGCGGUCGGAAAUAACUCCAGUGGCCGGGAAUCGAACCAGUUAAUCGGAAGCGUUGAAUUGAUUUUUUAAAUCGAUGGCUCUGAUUAGACGCUAAGAUCUUCCGAAUUGCUAAUAGAAAGAUGAGGAAGAAACCGAGAUGGCCUUCCAUGGCGUCGAUCAAUUUAGUGUGUGUGAUUUUUAAAAUUUUUAUUUAUGUAAAUUAGCAAAUUGCUUAAUUUACGGUGAAGUGAUAAUAUUUUUUGUUGUUGAUUUUUGUACUCAUUUGUGUUAUUUAAUUAAAACUCUUAAAGCU